UCUCGCUUUGUCUCUAUUCCUUUACAUUUUUACGGCAUCAAUAUUCUCAUUAACCAAAUAUGGCACAUAGAUAUACUAUUUGAUCAAAUUGCUAAAAAGAAAUUGUCCUAACUAGUCCAACUUGUUUGGUGAGGAAAAAAAGACCAAGGAACUUACUUAUGGGCUUACUCAUAUGUCUAUAAGCAUCUUGCCUCUAACAACUUGUUUGUGUUUAUUUCAUAGUUCAUAGUUACGCAAAAUGUCCGAACGAGGAAAAUUGUUGCUCCAACCUGGUUUUCUUGCAACUCAUGUCAAAACAGAUUAUGAGAGGAAAUAAAAUGAGUGGAUAAAGAGGAACAAUGAGAUACAUAAAUCUCAUGGGGUGAAGAGUAAUGCAACUCCUUUUAUGGAUGAUGAUGACAAUGAGUCUGUUUCUUUUGAGCAGGAGGCCAUAGAGAUGCCACCAGGUCGUCGAAAUGUUAGAGGCCAUAGAGAUACACCAUCUCCUCCUCAAAGUGUUACACCAUCUCCAACCCAAGGGUUAACCUCAUCUCUACAUACACCAUCCCCCCUCCAAAAUGUUACACCAUCUCCAACCCAAGGGUUAACCUCAUCUCCACAUACACCAUCUCCCCCUCAAAAUGUUACACCAUCUCCACCCCAAGGUGGUACGUCAUCUCCACCCCAAGGGUUAACCUCAUCCGCACCCCCUAUCGUUGCACAAUCUGAUCAAGUGAGUGGCGCAGGUCCAUCAUCCUCAAAGCGCGUGCGGGGACCUAUUGUUGGCAAAAGUUUAGAUAAAUUCAUAGCACACCACGAAGGAAAAAAUCUCGUAGUUACUGUCCCAGAGGAGACGAAGGCAUUCUGUGGGGUGAAUGCCACCAUGGCAGCAACUGAUCUUGGGGUACAGAUUAGGAGGUUUUGCCCUAUUCAAGGCUUUGCCCAUUCAUGGAAGUUUGUGGAUCCAAUGGCUAAAAAAGCCAUCCUGCAAUCUAAUCGAGACAAGUUUGACAUCGUAGAUGGAACAAAGGGAAAUUCACUAGCUGAUGCUGUAACUGACAAGAAGGCCUCCCUUUUGUAUAAAGAUUAGAAAUGUAACAUGAGGCAUCAUUAUAGAAAACUUAGGAAAGCGAAAGUGAACCCAUAUAGUUGUCCAUAUCCAGGGAUGCAUAUGGAUGAUUGGAAGUACUUAAUCGACAAAGUAGUCAAAGAUCCAAAAAUUCGGAAGCGCUAUGUAGCUGGAAAAAAAACAGGAAAAAACUCCCGUAUAAUCACACUAUGGGGUCCAAAUCUUUUCCUACUGCGAUGUCCAUUGAGGUGAGAGGACAUGAUAAUGAACUUCCCAAUUUCUGUGAAUUCUUCAAAAAAUCACAUACGCUGAGGAAGACACAAGAGUGAAUCAAACCUACUUGGGCAGUGCUACAUGUAUGUCUUCCAACUGUGUUAUUCUAGGCCCUUAAUUUCGAUGCCGUCCUCAGGGACACCUCGGCCACCUAUGCCAUUGUUGAAUUCUUCGCUCACUGGCGGCGAUGGAAAAAGCGCGAGACGAGGCAUUGGAGUUUGGAGUCUCGUUGACACAUGAGGAGCUUUCAACAAAGGUGUUGGGAAAAGGAAAGAAUCCUAAAUACCUUAGAGGACUUGGGGUUGGCCCAACGCCCACUUCCUUAUAUUUCAAAUCACAUCUUGAGUCAUGAGCACAUUCAGAGCUGCUGAGUAUCAAAUCUGAAAUGGAGUUACUUCGCGAGGAACAACAGCGAGAGCGAGAGGUGUAUCAGUGUGAGCGAGAGGAGCGAGAAAGAGAGCGCCAAGAAGAGCGAGAUCGCUUUGCUAGGCUUCAAAGCCUUGUCACAAAAUUCCUGGACACUUGUGGAACUCCUUGAUACGAGAUCGGUCAAGGGAUGCUUUUUGUAAAUGAAGCAAUUUGAAAGAUGAUUUUUGCUUUUAAUGGACAGAUUUUAUAUAUGGAGUAAUUUGGCAGAUGACUUUUUGUCGUGAUGGAAAUACUUUGAUGGACAGAUUUAGUAUAUGGAGUAAUUUGGCAGAUGAUUUUUUGUCGUGAUGACUUUGAUGGACAGAUUUAGUAUAUUGGGCAAUUUGAUGGAAAGACUUUGAUGGACAGAUUUUGUAUAUGGAGGAUUGGAAGAUGAUUUUUUGUCGUGAUGGAAAGACUUUGAUGGACAGAUUUUGUAUAUGGAGCAUUGGCAGAUGAUUUGUUCUUGUGAUGGAGGACUUAGAUGGAUGGUUUUUGUUUACUUAAGACUGUUGACUUGUGGUUUUUGGUUAUGAUGGAUAUGAAUAUGUAAUCUAUGAAAAUUUGGAGUUGGAAUUGAUUUA